GGAGAUGACAUUCAGCCAAUAAACACGUUCUGUGGCUUCUUUAAGCUCAUUCAGUUUCAGCAGAGAAGGAGAACAGCUAAUGUCAGAAUUUUGAAUCUGUAUUGACAGGAAGAUGGUUUUUCAAAAGCUGGUAUCUUUACUAUGCCUUCCACAACAUUUAUUAAAAACAAAAACAGAAGAAUGCAACACUAAAAAUCUUACAUUGUUAAAGCAGAACAGAAUAUGAAGCAAAGCUGACAGACAACUGAAAUUGUACCUCAUUAAAAUUUUUUAUUUAAUUGUCAAAUGAAGAAUGGUGGUGUUUCUGUUGUUUUCUAAAUAAAUAUUGUCUAAAAAACUGAUGACAUAUUUUCAAACAGGAAAAUGGUUGCAAAUAACCAGAGUGGUUCUGAUAUUCUUAAAUACUUUAUUUUAAAGGAAAUUUUAAUGCUUCCAAAUGAUAAAAACAACUGAUUGAAACAAAACAUAUUGCUUGGCUUCCUAUUAUUUAAAGAUUUAGCUUAAAUGUCUACAAGAACUUCCACUCUGGCCAAGAUAGAGUAAGGACUGGGAUUUAUCCUCUCACUUAAACACAGUUUGCAAGGCAAAGAGUAUCCGGUAACUGGAGGCAGUGGUCAAUCCCAGAAGAGAAGGAAACAAAUGAGGUCAGCCGUGCGAUUGUCCCAGUUUACUGCCCUGUGGGAUUCCACACAGCUGUGCAUGGAGGGAGAAACACCCCCCCCCCCCCCAGGGCAAAGCCCAGCCAAUGUUUUAUCUUGAGGAUAUGCAGCUGAGAAUAUGGGAAAGCAAGGAAACUCCAGUUCAUAGGAAAAAUACUGAGAGGACAGAGCUACACACACAUGCGAAGAGAGAGAGAGAGAAGGUGCUUCAGAGAUCUGCUGAAGGUUCUCCUUGAAUAUUCAGCUGAUCACCAAUCAGCACAUGUGCAUGCAGAAAAUACAUAAGUCAGAGAUGGAACCACUGGAAAGGAUUAGAGGUAAUGGUACCCGACUCCCACACAAAGGCAGAAAACAGUGCCUGCAUCCAUCAGUCUGAUUGGAAAACCUCAAGAUCAACAAGCCAACAAAUAGAACACCCAGAGGGGCCUUGCCUCAGUAGGAAGGAGCAAUAAGCCGUACAUAAAGCAUGGCUUCAGGCCUGUCUCACAAAUCUUCAAAGAUCCAAAAGGAUCAAAUUGUUUUCAAGUAAGUUAACUGGGUCCUAGCACAAAGCUCAAGAAUAUUACAGUGAUAAAAAUAGCCACUGCCCAACUAGGUAAAAAGUUCCACUUCAUUGGAUAUUUAUUCAACUUCCCUCAUCAUUGACUGAAAGUAUUUUUCUACAGGCAAGAAGGAAUAAUGGUUGUUUCAAACCAGAGAGAGAGCAAACAAUAUCUCCCCUGGAAUCAUUGGCACCAGUCCUGUCUUUAGAGAAUACAGCUUGGCCCUUCCUUCCUCAGUAUCUUCUAGACUUGAAGACUGAUUUUCUCUUCUUUGUUUUAGCAGCUUUCUGGCCUCAAUCCUUUAUCUGCUUAACUCUGUAUUUGUUGAAUGAAUGAACAAGUGCACAUACUACCAGCUCAGUCCAGUCUCCCAACUCUGCCCAUAAAGUGAAUCAAGGGGCAUUAUUUUUAGCCAUGUAAGAGAAAUGUUUUAAUAAAAUAUUUCUAGACAAUCAAAUUUAAAGCAA